AACGAACGCUGGCGGCAUGCCUAACACAUGCAAGUCGAACGAACCCUUCGGGGUUAGUGGCGCACGGGUGCGUAACGCGUGGGAAUCUGCCCUUUGCUUCGGAAUAACAGUUAGAAAUGACUGCUAAUACCGGAUGAUGUCUUCGGACCAAAGAUUUAUCGGCAAAGGAUGAGCCCGCGUAGGAUUAGGUAGUUGGUGGGGUAAAGGCCUACCAAGCCGACGAUCCUUAGCUGGUCUGAGAGGAUGAUCAGCCACACUGGGACUGAGACACGGCCCAGACUCCUACGGGAGGCAGCAGUGGGGAAUAUUGGACAAUGGGCGCAAGCCUGAUCCAGCAAUGCCGCGUGAGUGAUGAAGGCCUUCGGGUCGUAAAGCUCUUUUACCAGGGAUGAUAAUGACAGUAC
rnacentral:rRNA from 1 species